ACUCCUACGGGAGGCAGCAGUGGGGAAUAUUGCACAAUGGGGGAAACCCUGAUGCAGCCAUGCCGCGUGUGUGAAGAAGGCCUUGGGUUGUAAAGCACUUUCAGUAGGGAGGAAGGUAGUGUAGUUAACACCUGCAUUAUUUGACGUUACCUACAGAAGAAGCACCGGCUAACUCCGUGCCAGCAGCCGCGGUAAUACGGAGGGUGCGAGCGUUAAUCGGAAUUACUGGGCGUAAAGCGCAUGCAGGCGGCCUGUUAAGUCAGAUGUGAAACGCCCGGGGUCUUAACCUCGGAAUUGCAUUUGAAACUGGCAGGCUAGAGUCUGUAGAGGGGUUAGAAUUUCAGGUGUAGCGGUGAAAUGCGUAGAGAUCUGAAGGAAUACCGAGUGGCGAACGGCGGCCCCCUAGGACAAAGACUGACGCUCAGAUGCGAAAGCGUGGGAGCAAACAGGAUUAGAU
rnacentral:rRNA from 1 species